rnacentral:rRNA from 1 species
GGGGAGCUUGCUCCUCUGGAUCAGUGGCGAACGGGUGAGUAACACGUGAGUAACCUGCCCUUGACUCUGGGAUAAGCGUUGGAAACGACGUCUAAUACCGGAUACGAGCUUCAGCCGCAUGGCUAGGAGUUGGAAAGAAUUUUGGUCAAGGAUGGACUCGCGGCCUAUCAGGUUGUUGGUGAGGUAAUGGCUCACCAAGCCUACGACGGGUAGCCGGCCUGAGAGGGUGACCGGCCACACUGGGACUGAGACACGGCCCAGACUCCUACGGGAGGCAGCAGUGGGGAAUAUUGCACAAUGGGCGAAAGCCUGAUGCAGCAACGCCGCGUGAGGGACGACGGCCUUCGGGUUGUAAACCUCUUUUAGCAGGGAAGAAGCGAAAGUGACGGUACCUGCAGAAAAAGCACCGGCUAACUACGUGCCAGCAGCCGCGGUAAUACGUAGGGUGCAAGCGUUAUCCGGAAUUAUUGGGCGUAAAGAGCUCGUAGGCGGUUGGUCGCGUCUGCUGUGAAAUCCCGAGGCUCAACCUCGGGUCUGCAGUGGGUACGGGCCAGCUAGAGUGCGGUAGGGGAGAAUGGAAUUCCUGGUGUAGCGGUGGAAUGCGCAGAUAUCAGGAGGAACACCGAUGGCGAAGGCAGUUCUCUGGGCCGUUACUGACGCUGAGGAGCGAAAGCGUGGGGAGCGAACAGGAUUAGAUACCCUGGUAGUCCACGCCGUAAACGUUGGGCGCUAGAUGUGG